rnacentral:rRNA from 1 species
GAUUAACGCUGGCGGCGUGCAUAACACAUGCAAGUCGAACGAUGAAACUUAAAUUAUUUCUUCGGAAUGAACUUAAGUGGAUUAGUGGCGGACGGGUGAGUAACGCGUGAGUAACCUGCCUUCCACAAGGGGAUAGCCGUUGGAAACGACGAAUAAUACCCUAUGAAACUAUCACUUCGCAUGAAGCGAUAGUCAAAGUGUUAGCGGUGUAAGAUGGACUUGCGUCUGAUUAGCUAGUUGGUGAGAAAAAAGCCCACCAAGGCAACGAUCAGUAGCCGGCUUGAGAGAGUGUACGGCCACAUUGCGACAGGGACACGUGCCAGACUCCGGCGGGAGGCAGCAGUGGGGAAUUUGGCACAAUGGGGGAAACCCUGAGGCAGCGAGGCCGCGAGAUUUAGAAGGCCUUCGGGUUGUGAAAAUCUUUUGUAUAGGAAGAAAAUGACAGUACUAUACGAAUAAGGUCCGGCUAAUUACGUG